GCGUACGUACGUAGCAGGACAUGAGCGAAAAGAAUAGAAGAAAUCACACGCGGUGGCAGGCCACCGUAGCUAGACGCGCCGCGCCCCUGUAUAUACACACACACACAUCGAUCAGUGCACGCCACCGGCGGCGUGCUUGUGGUUGUGGCCGCCGACGCCGGCGUGCUUGUGGAGGCGGUGCUCCAUGGCGGCCUCGCGGUGCGCGACCUUCUCCUGGUGCAGCUGCGCCUCGGCGGCGGCGACCUUGGC
rnacentral:lncRNA from 1 species